rnacentral:rRNA from 1 species
UGGGGAAUUGUUCGCAAUGGGCGCAAGCCUGACGACGCAACGCCGCGUGGAGGAUGAAGAUUUUCGGAUCGUAAACUCCUGUCGAAUGGGACAAAUAGAUUGCGGGUUAACAGCCCGCGGUCCUGACGGUACCGUUAAAGGAAACCCCGGCUAACUCCGUGCCAGCAGCCGCGGUAAUACGUAGGUGGCAAGCGUUGUCCGGAUUUAUUGGGUUUAAAGGGUGCGUAGGCGGUCCUCUAAGUCAGUUGUGAAAUACUUCAGCUUAACUGGAGAGGUGCAAUUGAUACUGGAGGACUUGAGUACUGAUGAGGUAGGCGGAAUGGACGGUGUAGCGGUGAAAUGCUUAGAUAUCGUCCAGAACACCGAUAGCGAAGGCAGCUUACUAAGGAGUAACUGACGCUGAGGCACGAAAGUGUGGGGAUCAAA